rnacentral:rRNA from 1 species
UACGUAGGGUCCGAGCGUUGUCCGGAAUUAUUGGGCGUAAAGAGCUCGUAGGCGGUUUGUCGCGUCUGCCGUGAAAGUCCGGGGCUCAACUCCGGAUCUGCGGUGGGUACGGGCAGACUAGAGUGAUGUAGGGGAGACUGGAAUUCCUGGUGUAGCGGUGAAGUGCGCAGAUAUCAGGAGGAACACCGGUGGCGAAGGCGGGACUCUGGGCCGAUACUGACGCUGAGGAGCGAAAGCGUGGGGAGUAAACAGG